rnacentral:tRNA from 1 species
GGCCUCAUAGCUCAGUCUAGGGCGUUGGCUGUACUAAAGCCUUCCUCUUGCUGGCGUGGGUUCGAAUCCCACCAAGGCCG